rnacentral:rRNA from 1 species
AUUGAACGCUGGCGGCAUGCCUUACACAUGCAAGUCGAACGGUAACAGGUCUUCGGAUGCUGACGAGUGGCGAACGGGUGAGUAAUACAUCGGAACGUGCCCGAUCGUGGGGGAUAACGAAGCGAAAGCUUUGCUAAUACCGCAUACGAUCUACGGAUGAAAGCAGGGGACCGCAAGGCCUUGCGCGAACGGAGCGGCCGAUGGCAGAUUAGGUAGUUGGUGGGAUAAAAGCUUACCAAGCCGACGAUCUGUAGCUGGUCUGAGAGGACGACCAGCCACACUGGGACUGAGACACGGCCCAGACUCCUACGGGAGGCAGCAGUGGGGAGUUUUGGACAAUGGGCGAAAGCCUGAUCCAGCCAUGCCGCGUGCAGGAUGAAGGCCUUCGGGUUGUAAACUGCUUUUGUACGGAAGGAAAAGACUCUGGUUAAUACCUGGGGUCCAUGACGGUACCGUAAGAAUAAGCACCGGCUAACUACGUG